GGCCGAGUGGCGCAAUGGUAGCGCGCCAGAUUUCGGCUCUGGAGGAUGUGGGUUCGAGUCCCAUCUCGGUCG